rnacentral:rRNA from 1 species
AUACGGAGGGUGCAAGCGUUAAUCGGAAUUACUGGGCGUAAAGCGCGCGUAGGCGGCGAUAUAAGCUAGAUGUGAAAGCCCAGGGCUCAACCUUGGAACUGCAUUUAGAACUGUAUGGCUAGAGUACAGCAGAGGAUAGUGGAAUUUCAGGUGUAGCGGUGAAAUGCGUAGAGAUCUGAAGGAACAUCAGUGGCGAAGGCGACUGUCUGGGCUGAUACUGACGCUGAGGUGCGAAAGCGUGGGGAGCAAACAGAAUUAGAAACCCCAGUAGUCC